GCAGCAGUGGGGAAUCUUAGACAAUGGGCGCAAGCCUGAUCUAGCCAUGCCGCGUGUGUGAUGAAGGUCUUAGGAUCGUAAAGCACUUUCGCCAGGGAUGAUAAUGACAGUACCUGGUAAAGAAACCCCGGCUAACUCCGUGCCAGCAGCCGCGGUAAUACGGAGGGGGUKAGCGUUGUUYGGAAUUACUGGGCGUAAAGCGUACGUAGGCGGAUUGGAAAGUUGGGGGUGAAAUCCCAGGGCUCAACCCUGGAACUGCCUCCAAAACUAUCAGUCUAGAGUUCGAGAGAGGUGAGUGGAAUUCCAAGUGUAGAGGUGAAAUUCGUAGAUAUUUGGAGGAACACCAGUGGCGAAGGCGGCUCACUGGCUCGAUACUGACGCUGAGGUACGAAAGUGUGGGGAGCAAACAGGAUUAGAUACCCUGGUAGUCCACACCGUAAACGAUGAAUGCCAGUCGUCGGGCAGUAUACUGUUCGGUGACACACCUAACGGAUA
rnacentral:rRNA from 1 species